rnacentral:rRNA from 1 species
UACAUGGGGUGCAAACGUUGCUCGGAAUCAUUGGGCGUAAAGCGCGCGUAGGCGGUUACUUAAGUCGAAUGUGAAAGCCCUCGGCUUAACCGAGGAAGUGCAUCCGAAACUGAGUAGCUAGAGUACGAAAGAGGGUCGCGGAAUUCCCGGUGUAGAGGUGAAAUUCGUAGAUAUCGGGAGGAACACCGGUGGCGAAGGCGGCGACCUGGGUCGAGACUGACGCUGAGGCGCGAAAGUGUGGGGAGCGAACAGG